CUUUUCCCCUUUCCCCUUUUCCCGGGACGUGGGCCUGUGGGUCCCCCAUCCCCUUUGUCACGGAAUCGGGCCUAAUGCCCGUAAACCGUUGACAAUCAGAUACACUUUUAUUCGGAGAAUGAAACCUUUUUGUAAAGGUAAAAUUGACCCCUGACAAGUUAGUGUGAGAUUUACACAUCAAUUUGACUGUUCUGAUUUAUUUUUUGCAACACAGUAACUUCCUGAAAACAUGGCUAAUCAUUCAAUUUGUGUUUCUUCAACCAGAACUGAAAUUCACAGAUGGUAUUCUGUUCUUCUCUAGUCACAAUGUUAAAACUCCAGUCAAAACUAAGAUUCCUUCACAGGAAGGGAGGUAACAUGAAUGUCAGACACAGAUGCUUCUCUCUCAUCCUUUGGGUAGGAGCAGAUAUCAUGCAUGCAAUUUGUUCCUGUUCUCAUAGGGCAUUUAGAAGGACAACUGGACUGUUUCUUCAGCUUUACACCCUGUAACAUAUUUCCUGAGAGAAGGAAGAUCACAGAUCUGUGACUGGCAGUUGGAGCUGAAAACAGUAGUUCUGUGAUGUCUUUGGCAGCUGGUUGCACAGUCCUUUGACUUUCGUGCACGUGAUCUUUCCGUUACGUAUUGAGCUCUUCUUCUGGUGGUGGGCUGUUGGCCUGGCGUUUGCCCUGGGACGUGGCAUCAUUUAGCAUGGUCACUGAACACCUGAACACCUUACAGAUAGGAAGAGAGACUUUGAAUGGGGCUACCCUGUGGAGCUAGGGAGCAGCACAGAUCAGAUGCCUUUAUGGAGUGAGGCUAUCAUCUGAAAUGAAAGGGAGGAGCAACAAAAUGGAAACUGAGGGGGAAAGAUUUAAUUUAGGAGUAAUAAUUGGAACUUCAAGUCAUAUAUUUUCCCUUUAAAUGUCUACAACUUUAAAUCCAAUUUUGUAAGUUGGAAUUUACUAUUUAAAUUAUACUUACACAUUUCAAUGUAUUUUAUAUCAUUUCAUUGAAGUCUUUAUGUGUACAAUGGAAAUUAACUUUAAUGUGAAACACAGCCUUAACAAAAACAUUAUUUAGCAAGUCUGCAGUCCUCCGAGAUCUGCUACAAGGACAAUAUUGUUUCAGCUGCUACAUUCAACUUUGUCGUAGACUGAGUAAGUUUCUCACACUUUAAGAAAUUGAGAGAAUUAUGAAUUGGAGGUAGAAGUACCUGAGUUCCUACAAGCCUCUUGGGGAACAUUCAGCCUCUUUAUUGUGUCUCAUUAUCCCAUGAUGAGCUAUUUAAGGAGUUAAGCUGGUUAGGAAAAAAAAGAAGGGUUCAGAUUUCCUCUUCAGAAAAAAUCUGAAGAAUUUUACAGGGGCUCAGAUGAUCAGUGCUGGCAAGUGGGAGAAAAGGGAGCGCAUGACAGAAACUGAAGGAGACACUGUUCCUCUUAGCAGUAACACUAUGUAUGAUUGCUUUAGUCUCAAAACCCCCAGUGGCUGAACAAAGUUACUGCAAUUUUAUUCACUGAAGUCAAAGUAUUUUUAAACUGAACGCACAAUGGUGAAUAAAAUUCCUUUGAAAUUUUCCUUCCUUUUGAUGAGAUUUUUAGAUAAGAAUUAUACUUUUGUUGAAACAUUGUCAUGAAGUGGUAGGUGGUAUAUAGUAUGUAGACUCCCUAAUCAGCACUUACAGACUGAUUUCUGAGUAUUUCAGGAAGAAUGUUUCUGAGAUACAUCAGGAUUUUCUCUAUUUUUGCCAUUGAUUAUUGGAGUGUUACUUUGUGUUCAAGUUACUCACUAAUAUUUGUUUGAAGAUCCCAGUUAAAUCUAUUGAAGGAGAUAAAUAAAGCCUCAUUUUAUGUUUAAGAAGACGUAGGAAAAAGAAGCAAACUGCAUACUUGCAUUUGAAUGAGAUACUAUGUGAGAUAAUAGUCUAGAAAAUCUCAUGCAGCCCUAUGGCCCAGUCAUCUCAUGUUAUUAGCAAGUAAAUGAUGAGAAUCUCAUACUUGUAAUUUAUACAAAAGUCAUGAUUUAAUAAUGAACAAUCAGUAGGGAAAGUCUGACAUUCAAAAAAAGUUCUAAAUCACAACAAAAAGGCAAACAAUUGCUCAGUACCCCAGAAAUAUUAAGUGAUUUAAUUUCUUUGUUUUUAUUUUGAUGUUUCAGUGUUUGAAUUUAAUUUUAAAUGUAUAAAUGAGUAAUUGGCUUUUGAAAGUAGUUUUAUUUUUCCUUUGUAGUUGUGAAAUUGAUAUUCUCAUUGGUAAUAGAAAAAUAAUUGAGUAAACCACAUUCAACAUGGGGAUGCAUAACUGUUGUCCUAACUCAUAAGAGGAAUCUAGAAUGGCAAUUGCUGUAGCUUAAUUUUAAGAGAAGAAUAUCUGGGGAACUCUACCAGAGUUUCUACACUGAACGUUUUCCAGAUUGCACAGAAACAAAGAGAACUGAAUUUCAGUCAGGAUGACUUGGAAGAAAAAGCAAAGAAUGGGGAAUCAGAAUCAAGAUCUUAGAUUUCAAGCGUUUGGAAAGGGAUAUGCUACAGAAGCUAGUUCAGAGGUGUGCCACCAGCCCUGGACAUGUUUUUCUACAUAUGAAAAAAAUUCCUUAAUGUUGAGAAUUUUUCUGACCAAUGAAAGGACUUAUUGCUUUGUAUCCCAUUGCGUACACACCACAGUGUCUUCUGAGAACCUGCUGCUGGGGUGCCCUGUGAGAACACUGACUUAAUGGCACUGGUUUCGUUGGUGACCAACUAUCCAUAAAACAACUGAAAACAAGAGCUUGCCUUCUCCUGUCUGACAUGGAUCUUGUAUUGUCUACACCUGCUUCUCAUGUUUAGCUCAUUUGUGUUUCUCUGCCUUCUUCAUUUCAAGUAAUGGAUAAACAUGUAUGAUGCUAGCAUACUGAAUUUAACACUCUGAAAGGACUGCUGAUCACAAAGCAGCUGUAACUUAGCAAAGUGCUGGGCAGUAUUUGAGGAGGUUAGAGGUCAGCUACCAUCCUUGUUGAAAACGGCUAUGACUUGAAGAACAGCAGCGGCUGGAGGUCAAGCAGUCAUCUUUCCAGAUACAGUUUCCUUCUCCCUGGUGUUGAAGCUACUUGUCAUCAGCUAGAUCACUUCAAAACACUCCCUGAGCUAUGAAGCAUCCCUUUUUAGAAGAUGGGAAAUGAGAUUUGUUCAGCUGCAAGAAGAGGAAAGAGUAUCCUGGGCUGCAUUCAACAUAACUUUGCCAGCAGGCUGAUGAAGCUCAACCUCUACUCAGCACUGGCAAUUGAUAGGACCACAUGAGAGGCAAGAAGCAGUUUUCAGUACAAAAUCACUCUGAAUUAUCCAUAGCCUGCAUGCUACAUAUUGGAUUGCUACUCACUCAUACAAGCUUGGUAAAGGAAGUAGAAUGAUUGGCUGGAGCUCCCAGCUUCUCUAGCACUAAAGCAACCAUCAGACUGUUGCCUGCCUCCUGGAGGACCAUAGAUCUUCUAAAAUCCAUACUCUUAAUUGGGUAUCUUGGAAAUAAUUUACUGCUCUGCUUCCAGCUGGUUUGCAUGCCUUGAAGCUUCAGGCCCUGGAAUGUUCUUCCAACACAUUCAAAUAUAUUCAAAAAGCUUCAAAAGUCAAGCUGAGUCCUGCUGCAUAUGGAUUGUGUACAAUGGGAUGUCAGCAGCCUGCUAGGAAUCAAGGGUGUGUUUCCACGCUGAACACACUAGUCAAAAUGCUUUAUUUGAAACAUUUUGUAUCCAAUAAAGAUUUCAACAAAAUGCUGCUGAAAA